rnacentral:lncRNA from 1 species
CCACUCUUGCUGUGCAAACUCAAUUUCCUGUAUCCUACUCUACGUAUUUUCGAAGCAGUCAUCGCCAUAUGGUAUACUCUCUCUAGAUUAUUUUCUUGGGCAUUUGCCUAUUGUCACCUUUUCUUCUCACUAGCAUGUGGCUCCAUGAGGGCAAAUACUUAAUCUGUUAUGUUCACUGGGGCAUCUCCAGAACUUGCCUGAAACCCAGUAGGUGUUCAAUAAGUUCUGGAGGGAUGAAUGAAUGACUCCUCUCACUGUAAGGAAGUUUGGGAUAUGUAGUCUAUCUGGGCACAUUUCUAUCUGUUCUCUUUGCAGGGGAGAAAGGGAUGAGGAUGUUGGAUAAGCAGCUCAGCAUGUUCCCCAACAUGUAAGGGAAUCAGGUCGAGUUCUACACUCUCCUUCUUGGUACACAUCCUCAGAAUGCAGGAAGUGCCUGUGCUUGCUGUGAGUCUUUGUGGACAGAGGCAGGAUCAUGCUGGCUAGAAUCUAGUGGACAAGGGCAGCACAUUCCCCCUGUUCCCAGGUGGGUCCAGAGAUGUCGCCUGGGAGCCAGGGCCUGGAGUUCUGUUACUGUGGCUGAGCUUGCACCCAAGCUACAAGAUGACAUCCUACUCUUCCCUCACCUUUCUACAAGUAGAGGAGUCUCUUCUCAUGGCCACCAUUGUCCCAGGAUGUGAGGUCUGGAACAGCUGCAGCCAUUUUGCCACCAUGGGAAACCUGGGACAUCUGAACUGACUCCAUGAAGCCUGAAGAGAAAGCUAAUAAGAAGGCAGAGAGAAGAGGAAGAGUCUUGGUCUUUGGAAAUAUCUUUUGGAGCUGCUGGAUCAAGUAUCACUUGAAGGUAAGAAAACUGAAGUUCAGAAAAGGGAGGGGACUGACUCAAUCCCAGCUGCUGGCAGAUCUGGGACUGCAAACCAGCCUUCCAUUGCUCCACACAGGUGUCUCUUCUCACGUGGAAUCACAGCAUUGGAUGGACUGAAAAGAGGAAGAGGCUGCAAUGGAGCAGCACACCUGGUGCGUGGGGAUGCCUGGAAAACAAAAUUAGGAGAGCCCUGGGUCAGCAUUGCUCUGGCACUGGCUGGGCCGGGGGCCAUCCUGAUUCUAGAAUUAUCUUGGUUCCUGGGAUAGAAAUGUCCCCAGAGUGGAGAAGUUCAGUUCAAUCCAACAUCCUUAUAUUGCAAUGAGGAUAAAGACCACAGACCCUAUGGCCUGUAUGACCCAGCUGCCCAUUUCUAGGAACCCAUUCCUACAGAAAUGACAACAUGCGUGUGCAAACAGCAACAAUGACAAACAUACCCUGGGAUGCUUUCCCUCUGUGGUUUGUUAUAGUAAGAUAGCGGCUACAGCUUAUAUAUCAUCAACAGAGGACUGGCUAAAUGAUGGCACUUCAUUCUGCAGAAUCUUUUUUUGUAGUCAAAAAGAACAAGUUAGAUCUAUAUGUGUGAACAUGGAAAGGUGUACAUGACUUAAGUAGAAAAAUUAAGUUGCAGAACGA